rnacentral:lncRNA from 1 species
CCACUGCACUCCAGCCUGGGUGACAGAGGGAGACCCUGUCUCAAAAAAAAAAAAAAAAAAUAGAUGGGGUAGAUGCUUUUGGAAGAAUAUGCAGUCACUGCUCACACCAGCAUGGAACAAGUGGACUGGGGUUACUGCCUGGCGAGUCUCUUUCAGGUCCCUGAAUGCAGUUAACUCAGCGAGUCCUGAGUUCCCCAGGAGGUGGGCAUUCCCAUCUUACCCACGUUGCAGAUGAAGACACUGAGGUAUUGGGAGAACCUGCCCAGGUGAUACAGGUGCAUAGAUGACUUACUUUCAGAAAAUGUCAACAGGGUGCUCUGCAGAGGGGCAUGGGCUUUUAUGCCUUUAUUAUGCUUUUCUGUAUUAAAAGAAAAAUACAGUCAUGUGAUUUUAGAAACUCAACCCAUGGAAGAGAGAAUACUGGGUCUGUAGGAAAUCUGCAAAGUGGGAAAGAUACUUCUGGGCUUGGUGGUGGCACCUUGGAGCCUGCUUACGGAAAUCACCUCUCGUUCCCGUGAUGCUGAAAGCAGAAUGCUGGACAUGGAAGAACCGCGGUACUCGAGCUUCGUCUGCUGCCCCACACCCCACUGGCUGUUGCAAGAGUGACGUUGCCAUUGGUGACUGCAGGUCUCCCAGCAGCCUGGUGCAGAGAGGCCACUUCAGGCUCGAACAGAGGCCCGGGUUUCCACGGGAGACAGCAGAGCCACGGUGUAGCAGGCAUCCAGCUCUCCCCCGAUCAGUUCCGUGACUUGUCGGAAGGCCCUCCCUCCCGGUCAGACGAAGAAAGGACUGGUGGCCUCUGGGGAUCCUGAGCCUGUCUCCAUGGGAACCAGCUCACCCACCCCCUCUCUGGCAAGUGUCCUAGUGGGAGCCAUGGGAAACCAUGGGCUCCAGCCCCUGGCCGCUGACUGGUUGGCGGCCUUCCGUUUUGAGAUCCCUGGCCCAGGGUAAUGGAGGGGACCUCAUCUUACAGAAGACACAGCGAGGGUGUGGAGAGGCUGUGGGGGAAGCACAGCCUGGCCGGCAGCUGCUGGGUGUCCUGGCUUGAGCUCAGGGCACCUUUGUCCCAGGGUGGGACCCUCAGGUCUCAGGGGCUGCUCCAUCCCCGUUGAGGGCUCCCUUCAUUCUUGAUGUCUGUCCACUCACAGAGGGGGCGUCAUGCCUCUCCAAAGACCCCCACAUUCCAGUCCUUGUGUCCCUGAGGUCGGCCUCCUGGCGGCCACCUCACAGGGAAGGCCCUGGACACAGGGCCCUGGCCUAAUGCAGCAUGGCUUCAUCUUAACUAGUUACGUGUGCAAAGACCCUGUCUCCAAACAAGGUCAUAUUUUGGGCUUCUGAGUGGAAGUUGGUUUGGGGGACACUCAUCAACCCAGCACAAUGCUCCCCCUCACCAUGUUCGUUGAAGAGAAGACUCUUGGACACCUGGAGGCCACCAGUCCUUUCUGGAUCCCCAGAGGCCACCAGUACUUUCUUCCUCUGACCUGAAACAAGAGCUAGCAGGGGCUGGCAGGCCGACUGCGUCUGCUGCCAUUUUGAGUACUGGCCCCAGCCGCAAUGCCCAGGACUGAGUCAUGGAGAUUCCCUCAGAAAUGGUGCAACCCAGUCUGUCCACAGAGUGAGGGGCGACAAGCCUGGUGGCCCCGGCUUCAGUGCAGGCCAUCCUUUCCACCUAUUGUCUCCUUUUGGUCUCAUGGGGACCCGGUUCUUGUCCUCUGCCCUGUAGCAUGGCUACGACCCUCAUGGGCCACAAACUUGAUGCCCUCAGGCGGCUAGACUCUACCCCAGAUCCGGGGCUGGCAGCGGCAUGGAUGUGGUCAACUGGCAUGCAGUUGUUACCCAGACACCCUCCCAUCAGCACUUUUUUAGGGGGUGAGUGACAGAAACUCAACUUGGGCUUAAAGGUGAAUUUACUGGUUCCUGUGAUGACAGAGUUCAAGGUUCAGCUGGACCUGGUGCCUCCAAUGACGUCACCAAGUCUGUCUGUCCAUCUGUCUGAGUUCAGCUUCCUCCAGGUCUUCGUUCUCCAGCAGGCCUUCUCCUCAAAGUGGCCAGGUGACUGUCAGCUCUAUGGUUCAUUCUACCAGUUUAUGAAUCUCCCCUCCUCAUGUUGCUCAAAUUCAGCUGUGAGUAAACUCCCAAGCUGAUUGCAGCGUCCAAAGGGAGGGCACUGGUCCCAUGUGCAGCCGGCAACUCUAUGGGUUCAGCUCCACCCAAACUAUAUAGACCACAGCAGGGAAGGAAAGCCAGGGAUGCUAGGAUGGCCAGCACCACUGCAGAAGCCUAUUGAUCCCGUGCAAAAUAGCUCCAGUAAAAGGAGGGCUUUGGGGCCCGGUGUGUUGGCACACACCUGUAAUCCCAGCACUUUGGGAGGCCAAGGCAUGUGGAUCACUUGAGGUCAAAAG